rnacentral:snoRNA from 1 species
CUCCUCACAGGGUCUCAUCUGGAGAGUUUCCAGUACUCUACCAGUGACGGCCACAGGAGGGAGAGUCAAGCAGAGGCCUACUCAUUCCAUUCCUAGCUUGGGCAGUGGCUAGUGAGUGGAAGGCAAUCUGCUACAAGU